UGUGUGUAACAGCCACAUAUAUAGGAGGCCAUACUCAGAAGGAAACACUGCACCUGCCAUAAGUCAUCUAAAGAUGGACCAGACAGUAAUGCAGCAUCUAUAGGUGCUUAAGCAGGUGUCUGAUUUGGAAUCACGGCUGUAUACCAGGGCAGGACUCUGUAGCAUCCUUGACUAAUGUUACAGACACAAUGGUGGCAAAAGACACAUGUACGCUCAUGGCUGCGUCCGACUCAGAAUCAGCCCCAUUAUCUCUUAGGAUGUACUGGAAACUCAAUGCCGCUCUGAAAUGUCUUGGGACUGCGGACCAAAUUUAAAGCAACAAGCUCUUGUUUAGACUGCAGAGAAGAGAGAAGCAAGGGAGCAAGUCACAAUGAAAACAUGAGCCGAAGGAUCUCACAUUCACGCAAGCUGCAUGAAUAAAGGUCGGGCAACAGGAAGAGAAGGGGAAAAAACAGACAUUUUAAGUACAUUAAUAUAUCAAUACAUCUAAAACCCAAUGAAGCCCCAUUUCCCUAUAAAGUAACUUACUCAUAAAA